rnacentral:rRNA from 1 species
GCGGCCGUAACUAUAACGGUCCUAAGGUAGCGAAAUUCCUUGUCGGGUAAGUUCCGACCCGCACGAAAGGCGUAACGAUUUGGGCACUGUCUCAACGAGAGACUCGGUGAAAUCAUAGUACCUGUGAAGAUGCAGGUUACCCGCGACAGGACGGAAAGACCCCGUGGAGCUUUACUGUAGCCUGAUAUUGAAAUUCGGCACAGCUUGUACAGGAUAGGUAGGAGCCUUUGAAACGUGAGCGCUAGCUUACGUGGAGGCGCUGGUGGGAUACUACCCUAGCUGUGUUGGCUUUCUAACCCGCACCACUUAUCGUGGUGGGAGACAGUGUCAGGCGGGCAGUUUGACUGGGGCGGUCGCCUCCUAAAAGGUAACGGAGGCGCUCAAAGGUUCCCUCAGAAUGGUUGGAAAUCAUUCAUAGAGUGUAAAGGCAUAAGGGAGCUUGACUGCGAGACCUACAAGUCGAGCAGGGUCGAAAGACGGACUUAGUGAUCCGGUGGUUCCGCAUGGAAGGGCCAUCGCUCAACGGAUAAAAGCUACCCCGGGGAUAACAGGCUUAUCUCCCCCAAGAGUUCACAUCGACGGGGAGGUUUGGCACCUCGAUGUCGGCUCAUCGCAUCCUGGGGCUGUAGUCGGUCCCAAGGGUUGGGCUGUUCGCCCAUUAAAGCGGUACGCGAGCUGGGUUCAGAACGUCGUGAGACAGUUCGGUCCCUAUCCGUCGUGGGCGUAGGAAAUUUGAGAGGAGCUGUCCUUAGUACGAGAGGACCGGGAUGGACAUACCUCUGGUGUACCAGUUGUCGUGCCAACGGCAUAGCUGGGUAGCUAUGUGUGGACGGGAUAAGUGCUGAAAGCAUCUAAGCAUGAAGCCCCCCUCAAGAUGAGAUUUCCCAACUUCGGUUAUAAGAUCCCUCAAAGAUGAUGAGGUUAAUAGGUUCGAGGUGGAAGCAUGGUGACAUGUGGAGCUGACGAAUACUAAUCGAUCGAAGACUUAAUCAA